rnacentral:rRNA from 1 species
UAGUCCUACGGGAGGCAGCAGUGAGGAAUAUUGGUCAAUGGUCGGGAGACCGAACCAGCCAAGUCGCGUGAGGGAUGACGGUCCUAUGGAUUGUAAACCUCUUUUGUCAGGGAGCAAAGGGCGCCACGUGUGGCGUUUUGCGAGUACCUGAAGAAAAAGCAUCGGCUAACUCCGUGCCAGCAGCCGCGGUAAUACGGAGGAUGCGAGCGUUAUCCGGAUUUAUUGGGUUUAAAGGGUGCGCAGGCGGAAUGUCAAGUCAGCGGUAAAAUUUCGGGGCUCAACCCCGUCGUGCCGUUGAAACUGGC